CUGACCCCAGAGACUGAACUCAUUAAUGGCCAGUCCCUCCUGCCCCUCCAGGGAGCCUCCAACUCUGCUCUUUCUCUGGGGCUGGUCCCAUCUCCACCGGGACCUCAGUGGACCCUGGAUAAGGAGGUCCCGUCGCCCACUCCCCAUCUGACAGGACGAUCAUCACAGUAACGACAGCGUUACAGACAGCAGUCACCUGCAGGCAGAGCAUCCCACCAGGUCUUGAUGUGCCUCCGAAAAUGCGAGGGGACAAGAUCAGGCUCAACACAGAGCCCUGCACGCUAACUCUGGAGGCUGUGGAGGCCUGUCUCUCCUUCCAUGAGUGCCCACUAUGAC